AAUUUCUCGUUAUUGAUACCUUUUAAAUGCUGAUUUCGCUACUUCACAUCACAAUAGGAACAUAUAAAAUGUGUCAAGGUCGACGGAAGAACGUACGUUAUGGGUAGUGAGACACUAGGAUCAAGUUACGCCGCUCAUGGAGGUGGUAGUAAAUAUUGGAUUGAGUUUGGAAAAGGUCCGAAGGGCAAAUGUUCAGUUAACACAUGUAGUGAUGACUAUGGAUGGGGCAGCUGUUCGGCCAAAGUAACCAGCCAAUAAAUGGAAUAGUCAAAUCAAAAAUAUAGAUGAUAACAUGCAAUAAUGUUCCGCAUUUUUUGAAAAAUAUAUAAUUUCAUGUUAUAACAAAAAGAU